rnacentral:misc_RNA from 1 species
UCUGCGAAAAAGCGACAAAGAGGCCGCCUCCAUGCAACAUGCAGAUGAUCCUGGUUGCUGGCGGAUCGCUGCCGAAACUCAGCAGCCAGGACGAGGAUGGGCCGAACCCCCACACCCAAUACUCAGGCGUCACUCACUUCGAGCCCAUUCCGCACGAUCAUGACUUUUGCGAGAGGGUCGUCAUUAACGUGAGCGGGCUAAAGUUCGAGACGCAGCUGCGUACGCUGAACCAAUUUCCGGACACGCUCCUUGGCGAUCCGUCACGGCGGCUCCGAUACUUCGAUCCGCUUCGCAACGAGUACUUCUUCGAUCGGAAUCGGCCAUCCUUCGACGCGAUACUUUACUACUACCAGAGCGGUGGUAGACUACGUCGUCCUGUCAACGUUCCUCUCGAUGUCUUCUCCGAGGAGAUCAAGUUCUACGAGUUGGGCGAGUUGGCUACCAACAAGUUCAGGGAGGACGAAGGAUUCAUCAAGGAAGAGGAAAAGCCGCUGCCGUCGCACGAGUUCCAAAGGAAGGUCUGGCUGUUGUUCGAGUACCCGGAGAGUUCACAGGGUGCCCGCGUGGUCGCCAUAAUAUCCGUGGUCGUGAUCCUCCUGUCGAUCGUGAUAUUCUGCCUGGAAACGUUGCCCGAGUUCAAACAUUACAAGGUGUUCAAUACGACGACGAACGGCACGAAGAUCGAGGAGGACGAAGUGCCGGAUAUCACGGACCCGUUCUUCCUAAUAGAGACUAUUUGUAUCAUCUGGUUCACGUUCGAGUUAUCGGUGCGCUUCCUCGCCUGUCCAAAUAAACUGAACUUCUUCCGUGACGUAAUGAACUUCAUCGACAUCAUCGCGAUCAUUCCUUACUUCAUCACCCUGGCCACCGUGGUGGCCGAGGAGGAGGAGACACUCGAUCUACCGAAGGCGCCGGUAAGCCCGCAGGACAAGAGCACGAACCAGGCGAUGUCCCUGGCGAUACUCAGGGUCAUCAGGCUUGUCAGAGUGUUCCGAAUAUUCAAGCUGUCCAGGCACAGUAAAGGCCUUCAGAUCCUCGGCCGUACCCUCAAGGCCUCCAUGAGGGAACUCGGCUUGCUCAUCUUUUUCCUCUUCAUCGGUGUGGUGCUAUUCUCGUCGGCGGUAUACUUCGCGGAGGCCGGCUCCGAGAAUUCGUUCUUCAAGUCCAUUCCGGACGCGUUCUGGUGGGCCGUUGUCACGAUGACGACCGUGGGCUAUGGUGACAUGACGUAUGAUGCCCGUUGGAGUCUGGGGGAAGAUCGUCGGUUCUUUAUGCGCGAUCGCUGGUGUGCUGACGAUCGCUCUGCCUGUUCCCGUCAUCGUCUCCAACUUCAACUACUUCUAUCAUCGUGAGACUGACCAGGAAGAGAUGCAGUCGCAGAACUUUAAUCACGUGACCAGCUGCCCGUAUCUCCCUGGCACUUUAGGUCAGCACGUGAAGAAGAGUCCGAUGUCGGAAUCAUCGUCCGACAUAAUGGAGCUGGAAGAAGGCAUACUGCUGCCUCAUCCUGAG